rnacentral:lncRNA from 1 species
AUGCGAUUAAAGCUGUUAAAAAACUUUGUGUGUCUCGUUAUACUGUUGUUGUUUGAAAUUAAGGGAGCAGUUGCCGAUUUACAUCAUAGUGUAUAAACUGAUGCAUUAUAAUAGCGCCACACAAACAGAUUUGGGUUUUUCUGUGGGCAACAGUUUCAGUGAUAGCAAAAAAUAAAAUACAUAUUACAUUUCAGCCGCCUUUCUGAAACUCAGGAACAUAAAAAGUUCUGAAAACUAUUAAAUAAUCAAUUUAAAUGCCAAUAUAAUAAUAAAAUGAGACAACAAUAAAAUAAUCUAUAAAGAUUGUAAGAACUUUCAAAUUUAUAGUGGAUACAGUUAUUACCUAAUCUUACGAAUAAGUGUGAAGCACGUAAUAAAGCUCUAAAAUUUUAAAGUAAUCCAAUAACUGCCAGAAAUUGUAACAUUUAUUGCAUCGUAAACAAUAUAAAUUGGUUUUAUCGUAUACUAUAAUGGUAUCAGGUUGUUUUUAAAGCAAUUUGAAGAAGUGCAAAGAAUUUCCGGCUGUAAAAAGAUAAUUGUUGAAAACUUCAUGCUUAUGGCGAACAAUACUGAUUUAGAUGUUAAAGACGACGGUGCUUAUAAUGGUUCGGGAAUAGGACAUGGUGGUUCGGAAACAGUACACAUACCAUCUCAUAGGAAACGCAUAGAAACUAUAGAAAUGUCUACGAUCAGUAAUACAAAUGAAAGCUUAACUUUACCUACAUCUACCACAAUUUCAUCCUCUUCGUUACUGACAAAAUUGAAGAACGAAACUGAA